CCUACGGGAGGCAGCAGUAGGGAAUAUUGCACAAUGGAGGAAACUCUGAUGCAGCAACGCCGCGUGAGUGAAGAAGGCCCUUGGGUCGUAAAGCUCUUUAGCCUGGAAAGCGGUACCAGGAGAAUAAGGACCGGCUAAUUUCGUGCCAGCAGCCGCGGUAAUACGAAAGGUCCAAGCGUUACUCGGAAUUACUGGGCGUAAAGCGCGCGUAGGCGGCUUUGUAUGUCGAUUGUGAAAGCCCCGGGCUCAACCUGGGAACUGCAGUCGAAACUGCAAAGCUUGAAUGUUGGAGAGGUUGGGGGAAUACCUAGUGGAGAAGUGAAAUUCGUAGAGAUUAGGUGGAACACCAGAGGCGAAGGCGCCUGACUGGCAACAUUGACGCUGAGGCGCGAAAGCGUGGGUAGCAAACAGGAUUAGAUACCCUUGUAGUC
rnacentral:rRNA from 1 species